rnacentral:rRNA from 1 species
UACGUAGGGCGCAAGCGUUAUCCGGAAUUAUUGGGCGUAAAGAGCUCGUAGGCGGUUUGUCGCGUCUGCCGUGAAAGUCCGGGGCUCAACUCCGGAUCUGCGGUGGGUACGGGCAGACUAGAGUGAUGUAGGGGAGACUGGAAUUCCUGGUGUAGCGGUGAAAUGCGCAGAUAUCAGGAGGAACACCGAUGGCGAAGGCAGGGUCUCUGGGCAUUAACUGACGCUGAGGAGCGAAAGCAUGGGGAGCGAACAGGA